rnacentral:rRNA from 1 species
CGGUAUUCUGGCUCAGGAUGAACGCUAGCUACAGGCUUAACACAUGCAAGUCGAGGGGCAGCAUUGGGAUAGCUUGCUAUUCAGAUGGCGACCGGCGCACGGGUGAGUAACGCGUAUCCAACCUUCCUGCCAGUAGGGAACAGCCCGGCGAAAGUCGGAUUAAUGCCCUAUGUUCUUCAAUGCGGACAUCUAAGUUGAAGGAAAGAUUCAUCGCUGGCAGAUGGGGAUGCGUCCGAUUAGCUUGCCGGCGGGUAACGGCCCACCGGGGCGACGAUCGGUAGGGGUUCUGAGAGGAAGGUCCCCACACUGGUACUGAGACACGGACCAGACUCCUACGGGAGGCAGCAGUGAGGAAUAUUGGUCAAUGGGCGUAAGCCUGAACCAGCCAAGUAGCGUGCAGGAAUGACGGCCCUACGGGUUGUAAGCUGCUUUUAUGCGGGGAUAAAGUGCGGCACGUGUGCCGCUUUGCAGGUACCGCAUGAAUAAGGACCGGCUAAUUCCGUGCCAGCAGCGGC